rnacentral:rRNA from 1 species
AUUGAACGCUGGCGGCAGGCUUAACACAUGCAAGUCGAGCGGAGAGAGGUAGCUUGCUACUGCUCUUAGCGGCGGACGGGUGAGUAAUGCUUAGGAAUCAGCCCAUUAGUGGGGGACAACAUUUCGAAAGGAAUGCUAAUACCGCAUACGCCCUACGGGAGAAAGCAGGGGAUCUUCGGAACUUGCGGUAAUAGAUGAGCCUUGGUCGGAGUGGCUAGUUGUGGGGGUCAAGGCCUACCAAAGCGACGAUCUGUAGCGGGUCUGAGAGGAUGGUCCGCCACACUGGGACUGAGACACGGCCCAGACUCCUACGGGAGGCAGCAGUGGGGAAUAUUGGACAAUGGGCGCAAGCCUGAUCCAGCCAUGCCGCGUGUGUGAAGAAGGCCUUAUGGUUGUAAAGCACUUUAAGCGAGGAGGAGGCUACUUUAGUUAAUACCUAGAGAUAGUGGACGUUACUCGCAGAAUAAGCACCGGCUAACUCUGUGCCAGCCGCCGCAGUAA